AUGUCCGCGGAUUAGCAAGUAUACUUAGCAUGUCUAUAAUAAAAUAAUACGGCUAUAACAUAAUAUUUGGAACAAUUUUAUAAAAUCAACACAACCUCGAAUCUUUUUAAGUGUAUCGUUAUUCACAUGAAAGUGAUUAAUCUUCCAAGACAUAAAAUAUGCCUUCAAAUUGUGUCAUUCCUUGUUGCUACACUAGUAAAACUCUAUAAUGAUUGAAAGCUCAAUGAUAAUGAAAUAAGUACUUUUAUGCACGAAGUUCCAACAUCAAAUAUGGAAAUUCUUAAUAAAUGGAAAUCAGAUAAACCAAUAAAUUAUAUGUAUGUUAAAAAAUACUAUAUUUUUAGUGAUAUUUGAUGAGUGUUUAUAUACAUGGUAAAUCUGUUGAUAGCUCUAAAUA
rnacentral:lncRNA from 1 species